rnacentral:lncRNA from 1 species
UUUUUUAUUUUUAUUUUUUGUCUUUUGAGGGUCACACCUGCAUCAUAUGGGGGUUCCCAGGCUAGAGGUCAAUUUGGAGCUGUAGCUGCCAGCCUGAGCCACAGCCACAGCAACGGGGGAUCCAAGCCAAGUCUGCGACCUACACCACAGCUCAAGGCAACGCCAUAUCCUUAAUCUACUGAGCAAGGCCAGGGAUGGAACCUGCUUCCUCAUGGAUACUGGUCAGGUUCGUUUCCGCUGAGCCAUGGCAGGAACUCCCAUAGUUGAUUUAUAAUGUGCUUCAUGUACAUGGCAAAAUAAUUCAAGUAUAUGCCUCUCUCUCUCCCUUUCUCUCUCUCUCCCUCUCUCUCUCUCUGUACACACACACACACACACACACACACACACACAUUCUUUUUCAGAUUCUUUUCCCUUAUAGGCUAUUGCAGAAUAUUGAGUAUAGUUCCCAUGCUAUACAGUAAGUCCUUGUUGAUUAUCUAUUUUUUAAUUUUUAAAUUUUAAUUUUUGGUCAUACCCUCAGCAUGCAGAACUUCCUGGGCCAGGGGACUGAACCUGUGCCAUGGCUGCAACACCAGAUCCUUAACCUGCUGAGCCACCAGAAACUCUGGAUAUGUAUUUUAUAUAUAGUAGUGUGUAAAUGUUAGCCCCAAACUCCUGAUUCUUCAAUUAUUUUAAAUACAUGAUCAUAUUUUCUGUGAAAGAAAUACAGUUUUGCUCUUUUCUUUCCCUUAGAUUUGCCUUGUAUUUUUAUCUCUUGCCUUAUUUAUACUAGCUACAGUCUCCAGUACAAUUUUGAAUAGAUGUGGUCAGAGACAACACCAUUGCCUUGUUCCAGACCUUAGAAGGAAAGUGUUGGAUGUUUCAUAUUUAAACAACAUUAGCCAUAAGUUUUUCAUAGAUGUGCUAUACCUAAUUAGCUCCCAAAGCCCCAUCUUCAAUACCAUCAUGUUGGGAGACUGAGCUUCAGUAUAUGAAUUUUUGAGUAACAUAAUUCAGUCCAUAGAAGUUUGUUUGUUUAGCUUUAUCCCUGCUCCACAAAUUCCAACUGCCUUAGUCUCUUCAAGCUCUUUUAUUUUCCCUCUUCAUAUCAGUGAGGCCACGAUGCUCUGCAGGGUUCCCCUCCCUGUGCCAUAUUCUAGUAUCAAACAGGACAAUUGUAUAUGAAUCACAGUCCUGUACUUCCUAUUGUGUACUGUCUGAAAACAGUCAUUUCUUGCAUUUUUGUUCAGUUUUUAUAGUGUUUAUAGCAAGAGUUCACAUCAAGUUAUUUUAACUGGACAGGAACGAGAAGCUAAAACUAUGGAUUUUUGAAAGGAGGGAGUCAAACUGGUGGAGCCAAUGCCUUUGAGGAAUGGUGUAACAAAAUUUGGAUAGUGUAGAAAUCAUACAAAAGGAUGUGUGAGUUCCUGAUUUUGGAUAUGCAACAGUUAUUAGUGGUGACACAGUGUCGCAGUGUGAGAGGCUGACUUCCUCUUCAUCUUUCUUUGGCAGCCAAAUGGUAAGAAAAUGGAAAAAAAAAGACACCAGACAGCUAAUCCAUACUACUGUCCAUACUCACUUAUAUAUUCACUUACUAAGCAGUAUGGACAUUCAUCUAUUCGUUCCGGCACUAAACAUUCUCUGGAUAUCACUCAGUGUUAAGAUAAAAAUGUAUAGAAUUAUAAAGUUUGCCCUGUGGCUAGGAUGAGAUCCUAGGCAGCAAAUUAAUCUUGGGAGAAGACAUCAAAGCUGAAUAGAAUAGAACUUUGUGAGUGGAAGUAAGAUCUCCCAGUUUGGGUAGUUGAUAAUUUUUAACAGAAACAUUCUAGAUACAAACACUUUACCAUAUUUAUAAAGUUUUAUAUCCUUAGACAGCCAUCAGAUUACAUCCUAUUGAAGGAAAUAAAUCAGUCCAUCCGUCUAGUUCUCUGUCAAUGCCUCAUAAAAUAGCUGGUUUAUGUGUCAGACAUAAGAAAAGACAUAAGUCCAUGGAGUAUUUUCCUUUCCAAAAUGUUCCAGAAAAUUACAAGUUAUAUCUUUGGAAUUGCCUUCCGUAUUAUCAAAGAAUCCCAGUUACCCAAGCAUAAGCCAGAAAGGUGAUAUAGCUUAGUGAGUCAGACAGAACGGAUUCCAACCCUGGCUCUCUGUAUCUGAGUAGUUCUGUGACCGUUUGCAAGUUGCUAACUAGGGAAAAGAAAUAAGAUUCAGAUUCAAGAUAUAUGGAGGGAAAAUGGACAGGAAUAGUGGUUGACUGGCUAUAUAUAGAGUCAAACAUGAUUCGUUGUUUCCAAGCUUGAAGAGCUUGAGAAUAGUUGUACUAUAGAUAGAAACAGGAGAAGGAGAUCUUAAGGAAGGUGAGUAACUUCGAUUUGAGAAAUGCAGAAAGAAUAUGUGCUCUAGACAGAACUCAAUGUUGGGCUUCUAGGUGGAGCCCUCUAGCCAAAAGUAAAUGGUUUGACAUUAGUACUGGAGCUCAAAAGGGAAUCUAGUCAUUCAUACAUUUUAUUCAACCAAUAAUAGUCAAAUACUUAUUUUUUCACAGUCAUUGUGCUAGUUACUGGAGAUUCAGAAAUAAAAGACAGUGACUGCCCUCACAGAGCUCACCUCAGUGGAGCUAGAGAAUUUAUAGGACAGUUAGACUAUACAACCCUAAGUGUCCAGUUCUUUGGGCUAAGAUUGAGGCAAGGACACAGUGUGAUGGAAACAAUAGGUGAAGAAUAAUAAUAGGCUUUUAGAGGAACUGAACUAAAUCUUGAAGGAAGAGUAGGAGUUUGUCAGACAGAAAAGCUGCAGAGGGCCUUGUAAGCAGGGGGACAGGGUGUGUCAGAGCAGAGGCUUUCACCAGCGUAAGAGGCUCAGAAAACCUUGAGGAGUAUAUAUAUAUAACUUCCAGUAACACCAGAGUCCUCAUUUUUUCCUUAUCUCACUGUCCAUUUCUUCUAAUUAUCCUCUGUUACCUCCUUUGCUCAGCUCCUAAAUGGUAGUACUCCUUCUCAGGCUGCUUUUCUCUAUUGUCUACAUUCCCUCCCUAAAUGGUCACAUCUAGGGUUUCACAUGUCAUUUUAAUACCAGAGACCCUCUUCUGUGCUCCAGACUCUUAAAUCCUUUGACAUUUUCCAUUUCCAUGCUCCAACACUCUCCCAGGAAAAACACAAAUACAGACAAACAAGCAAGCAAACAAACAAAACACACCUCCCUGACCUGCUCCAAAUCCACUAUUAUCUGUAAACAGCAACUCACCCACUGAUGAUUCAAAUCAAAAGGAGUCAGCCAUUAUUCCUCUCUUGCCUUUACCUCCUAUAGGAAAUCAAUCAGUGUACCCUUAUGACUUCAUAUACAAUACUCUCUAUCUUCAAUACUACUCCUCUAGUCCUAGCUGCCAACAACUCUCACCUGGACGACUGCCACAGCUUCCUAAACAAUUCCUUACUUUCUUUUUCACAUACAUCUUUUUUUUCUAUUCAAUUGUGACCUUUGAGAGGGCAGUUUCAGGGGCAGUGGGACAAAAUCCAGAUCAUAAGGAGUUUAGAAGGGAGUAAUGAAGAUUUCAUAUUUGUUCAAUCCAUUCAUUCCCUGAUUAAUUUAUUUGAGAGAAACCUAGGCUUUUUUUUUUUUUUUAGAAGGACGUCAAGCUACUAACAGAAAGGGAGGAAAAAAAAUGAACAUACAAGAGGAUCAUGUAUGGAACUAAAAUUCUGAGAAGAGAGAUAGUAUAUGGUUAGGGAGGUAGGAUCUGGAGCUAGACGAAUUUUGCUCUGAUAAUAGCAAUACAAUAUUGGGAAAAAUAUUAAACUUGCAGCGCCUCAAUUUUCCUACAAUAAAAUGAAGAUGGUGAAUGGUGGUUGUGGGGUGUAAAUAAGCUACAUGCAUAAAGGGCUUAAAGCAGAGCCUGGCGCAAAGGAUGUGCCCGCUAAAUUUCUGAAAGUUAAAAAAAAAAAAUUAAUUAGUGAAUAUCCAAAAAUGUCUUGAGAUGAAAAGACAGCAUAGUAAAAGUCAUGGCCAUCUGUAUUGCCUAAGAUGGAGGUCUCACUUUCCCUUUAUUGAAACACACUUCAUACAACUAAUAAAACAAAAACAACCAAACUGUCCUUCAGAAUUCCUUUGUAAUCAGAGUUAGCCUUCCACAGAGUAGAGGCUGAAAUUCCACAGAGAAGAAGACAAAAGCAUCCAUCAUCCUAAACUGUUACCAUGCUGGUUGCUGACAGAGAAAUCUGUCUAGGGACAAUGAUCUCAAGCAGAUGUUGACAAAGAUAACAUUUUAAAGGAAAUUUUAAAAUCAAAAAUAUGCUUUCAGAAUUCUCUUUUACCCCUACAUCAUGUUCUCAAUAUUUGCUCUCUAGUCUUCUGUAAUAGGACUAUCAUGUCUUUGCCCAUAAUACACAGAAAUAACCCUAGAUUGACCUGGAAGGCCGGGGCCUAGUAAGUGAUAAAUCUGUUAGCCCCAAUUUGGAGAGCAAAGUAUUUUCUAGAGGUCACAGCACUAGCCAUUCAGAGGGGCCUUACAAAUGCUUUCAGAGGUGCCCCCUAGUAAAAUCAUGACCAGUGCUUUGAUCUCAGGGUUUCUUUCUUUUUGUAACAUGUCCGAAUACCUGGGAUUAAGAGGCAGGCAGAAGUCAGAGUGAAAUUAAACAAACAGUGGAGAGUGACCAGCCAGGGUGGCUUCUAGUACAGAGGCCAUGUGUUUGCCUUCCUACUUGCAGAUCAAGGUGAAAAGUGCACCCUGAGCUCCGGCCAAAUAUGGUAUAUAAACACACAUGAAAGAAGGAUUAGCUCUCUUCCCUAAGACUAAUGGGGACCCCUGAAAUCAAUAGCUGAUUUGUGACAACAAGACUAAGUCAACAUUGGACCAAAAGAUACUGGCUGUAUCCAACUUACCCUUAAUCUCAGGUAAACGUGUAGUAAAUUCAACAUUAUUCAUUUCCUGUGCUGCAAUUCUCCCUGACUCGGAAGAAGUGUUGAUGUAGAAGGCACACACAAAAGCCACCACUUGUUCCUUUUAAUCAGAUCCCUUUCUUCUCCAAUUCACAACAGAUUGCUGUUUGCACACUUUUUUGGUCCUAAUUCUAGUUCAGCCAGCAAGAACUCUUCCUGGAGAGAGAAAGCAGCCAAUGACAUUGUGACUCCUGUGCCCUGCACUCCUAAUGCAAACAGAGAACCAUCAAGGGCAGAGUCCUCUGUAAGGGAAAGACUGCUAAUGCUGAACCUAUAACAUGGAUGAUUCCCUUUCUCUGUAACCAGGAGACACGUGAGGCAAAGUUUAUGGGUAUUAGGAAUGAUGCUAUCACAGAAUUUCUCAAAGAUUUUAAAGAUUUUAAAGUGCUUCACAAAUUCAAAGGCUUUUGGGAGCUGGGGGUGGGAAGGCACUAAGUCCCAUGGCCCAUGGUCUCCACUCCUGAAUUCAAAGAUGUAAGAGUUCCAGACCAAUCUCUCCAAUAUUCAUCUAUUCAGAAUAUUUUGGUUUACUGGUCAACUUUCACACAGAGAUUUUUCCAAAAACAACCUGUGGAAAAAUUUGAGUUGAACUCCCAGGCAUGUGCACUAUCAUCAUCUACAUUUUGCAGAUGAGAAAACUGCCUGAGACCAGAGGAUGAAUAAAAAGUGACUCCAGCAAGCACACCUAGGGAGUCUGACUCCAGAGUGGGUAUGCUUAGACACUGAGUUCUGCUGCCACGUGACUUGAGCAUGCACUUUAGCCUCCCUGAAUCUUGGCUCUCUCAUCAAUAAAAGGCAUAGUUUAAUACACAUCUGAUAGAGUUGUGAUGAGCAGUCAAUAGCAAACGCAUGUCAGAGACUUAGUAAUGGCCUGGAACAUAGAGAUCAAUAAAUGGCCAAUUCUUCUCUACCAUUUUCUUUGAUAAAGGAACUGGAAAUAUAUACAGCACUGAUUAUCUGGGCACUGCUCAUUGCCUCAUGUAUUUUUCCAUCUAAAUGUUUCUCCAAAAUAAGUUUUCUUUUAAAUUUAUAUUUUUGCUGACAUGCUAUUAUCUUAGGUUUGGGCUCUCCUUUGGAAACAAAUAUCCAGUGCAUCAGCAUCAGGAAGGGGCUCAUUUUUCCUUUCUUUAAUGGAUUCACCUUUUUUACUUAGCUGAAAAUCUAACUCUUAUUAGAGUUCUGGUGAAUAAUAAAGAAUAAUAAAGAGGCUACCUGGGAUGGCUACUUCCUGGAUUUGCACCACAGACACAGUGAUUAGUGGAGGAAACACUGAAAGUGUUCAGUGAGAAUGAAAAGAGUUCAGAGUUGGAGGUUGUGAAGUCUAAAUCUCCCCCUUGUCUUAGGUUUGGGCAAAACAUGCUAAAAGAGGAAUAAACUUGCCCAAGAUCAACAGUAUGCCAGUGGAAAGCCUCUUAUAUGUUCUGAUGUCUGGGUAUAAGGGAAAUCUCCCUUCAUUCUCAUAACCAAAAAUAGAAAAAAAUAUUUAUCUAUGGAGUGCUUGUAAUUUUCAGGCAAUUGACUAGGUACUAUGCAUUCAUUAGGGUGCACAAAUUUUGGCCUGAUGCUGAAUGGCUAAUUAUUAAAGUCAAUAUUUGGCUGGUAGCCGAGGCAGAGAUGGAGGACUACUAUCAUAGACUUCAGCUUUGAGACACAAGAAUAAAUCUGAAGUUUUAUCCAAAAGUAAAUAUUAUUGCAAUUUUAACUUCAACAUUUUAUACUCAAAUUUGAAAAGAUUGAUAUAGUGUAGGAAAAGCAUUUCUUAGCAUUAUCAGUUGCUGAUUACUCUGGCAUUAACCAUACUGUACAAUUACAACAAUAAAGAGAUGUACAUUCUUUGCCAAGGUCAUCAGAGGAGCAAGGCAGUUUGGGGUCUGCUUUGCUCCCAUAUUUUUGAGCCAUGUUACUGAGUUUCCCUUCCCCUUAAAUUGUAACUGAUUGAAGUAAAUAUUGAUCUUCUCUUCAUCCUCCCUGAAGAUACAAUCACUGAAGGCAUCUCAUAAGACAAAAGCUUUGGACUUUCUUGAAGAAGAUGAAGAAUACUUGAGGAAUAUUUUCAGAAACAGGGCUGAUAUUGAUGGCCUAACCCAUCACCACAUACUCUUAAAAAUAUCCUUUAAUCUUUCCAAAAACCCUUUGUACAGGUAUCAUAUCUCUGUUCUACCAUGAAGAAAUUAAGGUUUAGAAAAGUCAAAUGACUUCUUUAAGUUAGUAAUUAAGGAUUUUGAGCCAAGCAAUCUUAGGGCUAUGUACAGUGCUACACAAUGCCUUAAAAGACCAAACAGCUCUCUAUCGCACGUGUGCCAUGUGUCUGGACUGAAGUAUACAUAAUUCAUUUAUUCUUACACACACAAAAAAUUGAAGUAGCAGUUCUCAUGCCUACUUUACAAAUGGCCUGGUGCCUAACCUAAUUACUUAUUGUCAAAACCAGGAUUUGAACACAACUCUCUAAUUCUUAAAUAAACACUUCUAGCCACAGCACUGCCCUACUUCUAGCCAUUUUUUUCCACUCUCUGAAGAUUCUUUCAAAAUUAUUCAGUGACUAUUACUGAGCUCAGACCAUAUGCCAGGCACUGAUAAGGCCUAACAUUCCCAAAAGAAAGCUUAUUCCACAUGGAGAGUGAGAUUUUGCACUGGUCACUAGGGAGAAAGAAUACAUAGUAACACAGCACACUUUUAGCAAAGUACAGAAAACGGGAGAUCUGAGUGCAGCAUAAUAAAGCAAAAGAAAAGCUGAGGCAUGGAACCAACCGCUCUGUUCCUCCCCAUUUUGCCCAGGGCUUCCCCAAUGGUAGUAACUUGCAGCAAGCCAACCUCUUUUCUUUGUGGCCCCUCCCCAGGCUCUUCCCCUGGGAGGGGACAGGAAGCACCAAUACAUCCCAACAUUGCUGCUGGAAACAAGGUAGAGCUAAUCCCUUACCUGGGAUGUUUGCUUUUACUGAAACAUUUUCUCCCACUUCCAGUUGGCCCACUUUCCAUUAUGUGAAUCAAUUCGAC